rnacentral:rRNA from 1 species
AUUGAACGCUGGCGGCAGGCCUAACACAUGCAAGUCGAACGAGUGGCGGACGGGUGAGUAAUGUCUGGGAAACUGCCCGAUGGAGGGGGAUAACUCCUGGAAACGGUAGCUAAUACCGCAUACCAUCGGAUGUGCCCAGAUUGGAUUUGCUAGUAGGUUGGGUAACGGCUGACCUAGGCGACGAUCCCUAGCUGGUCUGAGAGGAUGACCAGCCACACUGGAACUGAGACACGGUCCAGACUCCUACGGGAGGCAGAAGUGGGGAAUAUUGCACAAUGGGCGCAAGGCUGAUGCAGCGAUGCCGCGUGUAUGAAGAAGGCCUUGGGGUUGUAAAGUAAUUUCAGCGAGGAGGCGGUACAAGGAGAAGAAGCACCGGCUAACUCCGUGCCAGCAGCCGCGGUAAUAG